rnacentral:lncRNA from 11 species
CUAAGGUAUCUAAAAGGGAGGUAAUACAAUAUGUCAAAUUGCUAAACCCGCCAUAUUGGAUAAGCAUACGACAGCUGGCCACUUUGUUUCGAUGGAAUCAUCCAGUAAGCCAUGAAAUCUAGUCUGCUUUAUUUUCUGCACAGUUUGUUUUGUUUGGUGCACUGAAACGUCAUGGAUACUACAAUGGAAAUAAAAAAUUGUACAGAAAUCAGUUGGAAGCUUUCUAGAAUAAUUAAGUUCUUUUAUAGGGCAUCCUCAAUUGGUUUUGUCGAUCUAAUGCUUGGGAUUCCUUAAACCAUAGAAGAAGUUGCAUCGGACAGACAUAACCGGAAAAAUAGAAUGUGAGCAAGUUUCAUCGAGAAACGAUUACGAAAGUUCAAUGCCUAAACACGACCCGGCCAAUUGAAUACUAUUUGGUUUGUUCCAUUGUUUCAUCAAUAACAUUAAUUUGUUUCAACACCGUUAGUCUUAGAAUGUUUUAUCCUGUGUUAGGAUUUUUAUCCAGGCAAAUAAAUAAUGAGCUGCAACAAUGCUUUAAAUGAAUGAGUUGAAACUAUCUUUUAUUCUACACAAAAAAUUUAAUUAUAAUAAAAUUCUAUUCUGGCUCUUGAUACUUGGCGGAAUGCGUUUUAUUUUGCCAUAUUCAGGGUUGGUAACCAUCGGUUUCGUCACUGAACGAUGACGAAAAAUUGAAAAAAAUAUUCAGUGCGUAAAAGAUCGUCAUUUUCAUUGUCUUCAAUGACUGACAAGGAGACCACGACAAAACAAAACCGCAAAAAGUCCACGAUUAAUAUUUUUCGUCACUCCUCCCGUUACCCCAACGCACUGAACCAACAUAAGCUUCUAAUCGUCGCCGAGCUCACAAUUGCGGACAAAGAGAGUCUGAGCUACGAACUACUAGUCAACAAGGUGUCUUGUGUUAGAAAUUGAGCAAGCACAUUUUCACGAAGAUCAUAAGAAUGUUUUGGAAGACUCCAUUUUUUGCUGCAGCUUCCGAAACACCUAAAUUUUUGCCGCUAUAUAUUUUUAUUAUGAAUAUUCACCGUUGCUUUACCAUAGUUUUUUGAAGCGAAACUGCCUUGGUAAGUAAAUACGCAUCCAAGAGAACUGUUGUCCACUAAUGCUAAUCAUAUCCUGCUCGAUUUAACAGGUGUUGUAACGAACUCACGCCUCUAAGCACGAAACCAUAUCGGAGUGCAUCGGCGGAAUCUACCCCACGCUGGCCGAGUCACUGAGAACAUUCAACCCGAAGGAUGGUUCCAUGGCGGCCGCAAAUGGUUUUAGGAAAACGAUCUAUAAUUACGAAGUUAUCCACGCCACUGACAUUCCGGCCGCUUUUCAAGACAUGGGGCCAACCUGAACUGGAAGGUCAUCGAUGCGUACGCCUACCUGAUUCGGAUUGAAAUCCCCCAGCAGCUGGGCGAAAAACCAAUGCUAGCUGACCCGUUCCCUGUCCAUCGAGAAUGACGGCAUAAAUAUCCAGAGCAUCGCCGUUGGUCAAGCCGUAGCUGUCCAGGUAAUGAGGUUCGAUCCCAACCAACGAAUAUUGCUCGACCGAUCUCUUCAGCAGGAAAUCAGCUAUUAUUCACCGAAGAACAUACUUGCUGGCGGCAACAUCGAUAUAGUUAUAAUUAACGAUGUAAUUACAUAUCUACACCUGAGGAAUUAAAAUAAAACACCAAAAUCGCUGUUUCUUUUUGCAUUGUUGACAAAAAUCAAUCUACCAUAUCAAGCAUAAUUCUUCAAUACGACGUAUCUGCAAAAAUAAACAAAUCGAGAUUUGCUUUCCAUGGGCUUGACAAACGCAUAAUCUACGUACUGAGUCUAUAAAUGUAUUCCUACAACCAUUUUUUUGAUUU